rnacentral:ribozyme from 13 species
AAAAAAAGGUCUAAAGAGGAAUCUAAAGAAAAAGAGAAGGCAAAAGGAUCUUCUUCUUCUUCUUCUACGAGUACGACUCCAUUUUCUUCUUCUUCUUCUUCUCCUUCUUCUCCCUCUUCUCUUCCUUCUUCAUCUUCUUCAAAAUAUAAAAAAUACCAUCUUACUGAAGAUGAAAGAAGAGAAAAACAA